UGAGGCUCGAUGAUGAGGUAUAGUCAUGCCUAUGUUAAGCUUUUUUUUCGCUCCAUUCUUUGUCUUUCUUUAGCCAUAAGAGUAUGCUCAUGUCAUGGGACACAACUAGAGCAUGCUCCUUGUUCUAUUGGUGGGCCUUCAACUUGGUGCCCACCAAUCCUUGUGCUGCCAUCGGCUUCCUCUUAUGCCACCCAAAAGUAAUUUUGAAGAUAUUUCGGCAUAGAUGCUAAGAGAGGCAAGUCUUAUGAGGCUUACUAGGUGAUUUCUUUUCAUCUCAUAUCGUCGAAAAGGGAAUCAAUGAUGAGCCAUGGAGUCAAUUAAACCAGACCAAUACCUAGCCCAAGAAGUUCAUUAAAGAAGAAGCGAGGUUCAAUUGGGAGUUGGUUUAAUUCAAUUGAAGAUGAUUCAUAUUCAAAUUCAUUCCGACCAUCAUCAAAUGAGUUUACCUCUUGAGCUUAAACCAAGUCAAAUCCUCCUCAACAAAUUCCUAAAACCUCACUUGAACCAAACCCAAAUUCAGAUUCAAGCUCAGUUCAAAACUGAGUAUAAAAACCGAAUUUCUACCAGAUGAAUAGUGGUUUGUGCUACUGUUCAUCGUCCACAUUUCUCAUCAUGCAAUUGCAGCUCCCUUCUCCUUCUCCAGAUCUACAUCUCGGUCAACUUUAUCGGCAUUGAGGAUUCCAACUACUUGUGUCCAAUUCCUGAUCAUCUAAGCUCGCCGGUGAGGGUUUCUCCGGUGCUAUUUUUAUUUCUGAAAUUCUUUGUUUCUUCCAUUGCCGGGUAUAGUGAUGUGAGCCAAGAAGAGGCAUUGAAGGGAAUUGGGGGACCCAUGACAAGGUCCAAGACUAAGAGAAUGAAGCAAGCUUUGGAAGGCUUAAUAAUGAGGCUCAAGGAAAAGGAGGAUCAAUGCACA